rnacentral:rRNA from 1 species
AUUGAACGCUGGCGGCAUGCCUUACACAUGCAAGUCGAACGGUAACAGGUCUUCGGAUGCUGACGAGUGGCGAACGGGUGAGUAAUACAUCGGAACGUGCCUAGUAGUGGGGGAUAACUACUCGAAAGAGUGGCUAAUACCGCAUGAGAUCUACGGAUGAAAGCAGGGGAUCGCAAGACCUUGUGCUACUAGAGCGGCCGAUGGCAGAUUAGGUAGUUGGUGGGAUAAAAGCUUACCAAGCCGACGAUCUGUAGCUGGUCUGAGAAGACGAUCAGCCACACUGGGACUGAGACACGGCCCAGACUCAUACGGGAGGCAGCAGUGGGGAAUUUUGGACAAUGGGCGCAAGCCUGAUCCAGCAAUGCCGCGUGCAGGAUGAAGGCCUUCGGGUUGUAAACUGCUUUUGUACGGAACGAAAAGCCCUGGGUUAAUACCCUGGGGUCAUGACGGUACCGUAAGAAUAAGCACCGGCUAACAACGUGCCAGCCGCCGCGGUAACAC